GUGUGCCAUUUCAGCAACACAUAUACUAAACUUGGAAUGAUAGAGAGAAGAUUAAUAUGGCCCCUGUGCAAGAAUGACAUACAA
rnacentral:snRNA from 1 species